GAUGAACGCUGGCGGCGUGCCUAACACAUGCAAGCCGAGCGAACAGACGAGGAGCUUGCUCCUCUGACGUUAGAGGCGGACGGGAGAGUAACACGAGGAUCACUUAUCUAUAAGACUGGGAUAACUUCGGGAAACCGGUGCUAAUAACGGAUAAUAUAUUCAACCGCAUGGAUCAAUAGUUACAGACGGUUUUGCUGUCACCGAUAGAUGGAUCAGCGCCGCAUUAGUUAGUUGGUAAGGUAACGGCUUACCAAGGCAACGAUGAGUAGCUGACCUGAGAGGAGAAUGGGCCACACUAGAACUGUAACGCGGUCCGGACUCCAACGGUAGGCGACGGUGGAGAGUCUUCCGCAAUGGGCGAGAGCCUGACGGGGCAACGCCGCGUGGGGGAUAAAGGGCUUCGGAUCGUAAAACUCUGUUAUUAGGGAAGAACGAAUGUGUAAGUAACUAUGCACUUCUUGACGGUACCUAAUCAGAAAGCCACGGCUAACUACGUG
rnacentral:rRNA from 1 species